GAAGCGGGAGGGAUCCGAACUCUCCGAUGCAAAUAAAAGCCGGCCGCUCUUGACCAAACUCAGCCACACUGAGAAUCCUGCUGGACGAAAAUCAACCCUGUGGAAAGAUGAAACCGACAGCAGUGCUUGUUGUUGUGCUUCUUCUGGUGCUAUCCCUUCACUGUGAGAAAAGCCUGGUUCAUGGAUUGUGCUGCAGAGGUGGACGUGGAGUUUGUAAAACAAGGUAUCAGUGCCAGAGAAUAGGGGGAACAUAUGCUUUCAGCACCGAAUGUGGCAGGAAUGCUGGAUGCUGCACAUAGCAGCUCACGCCACGUGAAGACUGAUGGCGCCACUUUCUCACUGAUGCUUCAUGGAGAAUUUCUUCUAAUGAAUUAGAAUUAAGAAUUAUUUCUGCUUUUACAUACAUGUAAAAUGAUGAUUUAAAAGUGUUGUUGCACCAGCUAAAUGUUUUUGUCCUAUGUAUUUUAUUUUUAUUUAAAGUGCAGUUGUAGUGUCAUUUCUUUAAUCUGUGUAGUCAAAAACAUCUUUAUUCAACUAAUAUCAAAUAAAAAUUGUCCUUAUUAACGCUUUCUUGAUUGUG